GGAGAAAUGGCAGAGUGGUCGAUUGCGUCUGACUUGAAAUCAGAUGAACUGAAAGGUUCCGUGAGUUCGAAUCUCACUUUCUCCU
rnacentral:tRNA from 1 species